rnacentral:rRNA from 1 species
UGAGGAAUAUUGCGCAAUGGAGGCAACUCUGACGCAGCCAUGCCGCGUGCAGGAAGAAGGCGCUACGCGUUGUAAACUGCUUUUAUCCGGGAAGAAACCCCUCCACGCGUGGAGGGUUGACGGUACCGGAGGAAUAAGCACCGGCUAACUUCGUGCCAGCAGCCGCGGUAAUACGAAGGGUGCAAGCGUUAUCCGGAUUCAUUGGGUUUAAAGGGUGCGUAGGCGGGAUAGCAAGUCAGUGGUGAAAUCCCGUGGCUUAACCACGGAAUUGCCAUUGAUACUGCUGUUCUUGAGUACGCUCGACGUGGGCGGAAUGUGCCGUGUAGCGGUGAAAUGCUUAGAUAUGGCACAGAACACCGAUAGUGAAGACAGCUCACGAGGGCGAAACUGACGCUGAGGCACGAAAGCGUGGGGAUCAAACA